rnacentral:rRNA from 1 species
GAGUUUGAUCCUGGCUCAGAGUGAACGCUGGCGGUAGGCCUAACACAUGCAAGUCGAACGGCAGCACAGUAAGAGCUUGCUCUUAUGGGUGGCGAGUGGCGGACGGGUGAGGAAUACAUCGGAAUCUACCUUUUCGUGGGGGAUAACGUAGGGAAACUUACGCUAAUACCGCAUACGACCUUCGGGUGAAAGCAGGGGACCUUCGGGCCUUGCGCGGAUAGAUGAGCCGAUGUCGGAUUAGCUAGUUGGCGGGGUAAAGGCCCACCAAGGCGACGAUCCGUAGCUGGUCUGAGAGGAUGAUCAGCCACACUGGAACUGAGACACGGUCCAGACUCCUACGGGAGGCAGCAGUGGGGAAUAUUGGACAAUGGGCGCAAGCCUGAUCCAGCCAUACCGCGUGGGUGAAGAAGGCCUUCGGGUUGUAAAGCCCUUUUGUUGGGAAAGAAAAGCAGUCGAUUAAUACUCGGUUGUUCUGACGGUACCCAAAGAAUAAGCACCGGCUAACUUCGUG